CCAGCAGUGAUGCAGUUACUGAAGCUCCAGCACCAAAGAAAGAGGCUCCUCCUACCAACAUUGCAGUUACUAAAGCUCCAGCUCCAAAGAAAGAGGCCCCGGCC